CGGAGGGUGCAAACGUUGUUCGGAAUUACUGGGCGUAAAGCGAGUGUAGGCGGUUUGGUAAGUCGGAUGUGAAAGCCCCGGGCUCAACCCGGGAAGUGCACUCGAUACUGCCAAGCUAGAGUAUCGGAGAGGUUGGUGGAAUUCUCGGUGUAGAGGUGAAAUUCGUAGAUAUCGAGAGGAACACCGGUGGCGAAGGCGGCCAACUGGACGAAUACUGACGCUGAGACUCGAAAGCGUGGGGAGCAAACAGGAUUAGAUACCCUGGUAGUCCACGCCGUAAACGAUGGGUGCUAGGUGUCGCGGGCUUUGACUCCUGCGGUGCCGUAGCUAACGCAUUAAGCACCCCGCCUGGGAAGUACGGCCGCAAGGCUA
rnacentral:rRNA from 1 species